AGUGAACGCUGGCGGUAGGCCUAACACAUGCAAGUCGAACGGCAGCACAGUAAGAGCUUGCUCUUACGGGUGGCGAGUGGCGGACGGGUGAGGAAUACAUCGGAAUCUACUUUUUCGUGGGGGAUCACGUAGGGAAACUUACGCUAAUACCGCAUACCACCUACGGGUGAAAGCAGGGGAUCUUCGGGCCUUGCGCGGUUGAAUGAGCCGAUGUCGGAUUAGCUAGUUGGCGGGGUAAAGGCCCACCAAGGCGACGAUCCGUAGCUGGUCUGAGUGGAGGAUCGGCCACCCUGGAACUGGGACGCGGACAAGGCUCCUGCGGGAGGCAGCAGUGGGGAAUAUUGGACAAUGGGCGCAAGCCUGAUCCAGCCAGACCGCGUGGGAGAAGAAGGCGUUCGGGUUGGAAAGCCCUUUUGUUGGGAAAGAACAGCAGCAGGUUAAUACCCCGCUGUUCUGACGGUACCCAAAGAAUAAGCACCGGCUAACUUCGUG
rnacentral:rRNA from 1 species